UGAAAUCUUGCCAGGACGGAUCUUGUCAAAGCUGGCGAAAAGGUGACAGCCAAUGUGUCUCUAAAUCUAGACCUUCGCCAGCCAAAUUAUUUUGCGCUGCGAGCCAUCGACGAUGCUGGAUUAACGAGUAUGGUCUCCAAUAUUGACAUCCUAGGGUCAGAGCUUUUGGUGGCAGUGCCAGCCGUGUUGGUCAUUCCAGUCUGGGCCAUCGUGCUGAUUGCUGCAGUCUUGCUACUGCUGAUUGUCGCCUCGUGUGUUGUGCUUUCGUCGCGGAACACUGGCAAAUAUGACUGUGUCGAAAGCUGAGAUAUGCCAAAGAGAGGAUGUGGUCGUGCGUUUUAUUUCAUGUGAUUUUGCAUUGCAUGGUUUUAGCCAGUGAAUCUUCUCGAUAAAUAUGAUAGCUUAAAGUUAUCUUAAAAUGUAUAGACUAUAAUUUGACAUGUGCUUUUAACCCUGUGGUAAUUCAGGAGGCCUUCAUGAAUUCAUGCUUCAUUUUCAAGCAUUUGUGUUGGCACUGUAUCAUACAUGCAUAAAGAUAUGGCUAUUCCAUACAUAUAUUGUAGUAGUUAUACUAUACUGUAUAUAACAAUUAUAGUUAGAAAGUAACAUAGUUCUAAUGUAACUUAAUUCACUUUACCGAUGCCACAGAACCAAUAAGGUUCUCUGUAUAUUAAACAGUUGCCCUUGGAAAAGUUCUUUCAACCUGUCUGAUUUACUUAUAUGCAUUUCACAGAGUGCUGCGUUUUUACAAUCCGAUGUGCUAAUAUGUGUACCUGAGAGAAAUGACACAGGUGUUGAGUUCUAACGGAAACCAAGAUAGUUAGAAAUAUAUAUAAAUAUGUUCACUCCAGCAGUAAAGGUCACCGGCGGUUUUACAUUUCCAAGAAAGCUUAUUACCAGAAUCAAACUUCAUUAGUAAUGCAGCAAGAAGUUUAACUCGAAAUCUUUUGUGUUUAUGCGGAUGUUUGACAACCAGUUACCAAAACAAGCAAUAACAAAUCAGAGAAAGAGAAAAAUCAUAAGGAAAUCCUUCAAAAACAACAACAGUACUCUAAUUCAGACAGAUCCUGUAAUAAUUAUGGUGCUUCCCUUCUGCUUUUAUGCUGAUUACAAAACGAAAUUGGGUGACGCAGACGUACAUAGUGUCCUAUGUACAUUAACACUCUCCUUAGGCAACUUCCGCUAUACUUAUGUGGUUCCCUCUGACCACUUUUCCUAUUUUCCAUCUCUAGAUAUUCGUCCGCUCUUCGUAUCUCUUUUCCAACUAACUCUCCUUGUUUCAUAUGACCGCUUUCCUCAAAUACUUAUCCAUUUCAUUUUCUUCUCUUGUCACGGAAUUUGCUAUUUGAUUCCUCAAAUGUCAUCCAAAAUAUGAGAUAGCAGGAUUAGAUCGGUCUUGUCUUCGUCACUUCGGGUCGUGUAUCCUACAUAUUGUAUGGGGGAUAUUAUGUUCUAAUAAAACAGAUAUGAGAAA